UUCCAAGGGGAUGUAGAAGGUUCAAUAUGUCCAGCAGCCAGCUGUUCCUGCACUAACUCUAUGGCUGCAUUUAAUUUUGUAGUGGUAAGGGGCCAUUGAUCGAUCCAGACAGGAACAUCACUUUUCCAAGUAAUCUUGUCUGCCUGGAGUGCAGGAGGAGCAACGGCCCUUACGAAAAAUGUUUUUCAAACCCUAAACCUGAGCGGUCUAUCUUAGGCGUGGCCAGUAUCGGGUUGGGAUCUCCCUGUUUUAGUUUGCCCAACCCCUGACCAGGGAGGUAACCCUGUGAAAGCAUCUGCUGUGUUACAACUUCAUUAGGGCUACACAUGAUGACCUUCAUUUGAGAAAGGAUAUCUCUUCCCCAAAGAUUUACCGGCAACCCAGGAACUACGAAGGGUUGAAUGAAUCCGGUAUUUCCUUCUUCAUCUUCCCAGUUUAAUAACUGUGAGCUCUGUAAGGUGUUUCUUGACUGCCCAAUUCCUUGUAGAUGGGUCAAGGAAGCGUGUAAGGGCCAGCUGGAGGGCCAUGAAGCCUGAGAUAUGACCGUAGAGUCGGCCCCCGAAUCUAAAAUUCCUUCAAAUACUUUUCCUUGGAUUUUAAGUUUAAGAGUGGGGCGUUCUUUAGUAAUAGCUUGGAUCCAAUAUAAGUCUGAAGAACCUGGGGUAGAGGAGCCUCGCUGCUUAUGAAUAGCAGGGUGAGAUGUACUUAAAGGGAGGGGGAGCGCCUGCGCAAGGCGCUGACCUUUCAUAAUGCUGACAGGGCACUGGGGGGCACUAGCAAGAAUUUUUAUUUCUCCAGUAUAGUCAUUGUCAACUAAGGAAGGGUGGACAAUAAGGCCGUUUAUUGUGGUGGAAGCUCGCCCUAAAAUUAGAAAAUAAGUAUCUUUGGGAGGUGGGCCAUAAAUUCCUGUGGAAAUAAUUGUAAUUCCCUCUUCAGGCGUUAAUAUUGUUGAGGAGGAGGCACAGAGGUCAAGUCCUGCACUCCCGGGUGUGGCCCGAUAGAGGGCGGGAGUGCUACAGCUAGGCUGUUCCCCGAGGCCGGCUGAAAUGGAAUUGGCUGGGGGGCCCGGGGCUGGCCCCUCAGCUCGUUUCCCUGAAAAGGGGGGGUGAAAGGAUUUGUGGUACUGUAAAAAGGAUUUGUUGGAUUGUUACGGCACUCUUUGGCCCAGUGCCGCCCCUUAUGGCAGCGAGGGCAAAUACCGGGGACUGACCCAACUCUAGGAGGAGGAGCUGUGGUAGGGCAUUGGCGAGCGAAAUGGCCUGGCUGUCCACAUUUAAAGCAGUUACGCAUAGGCGGUGCGCCCCUGGGGAAGGAAGGAGGAUAAGAAGCCGGGGGAGUUUGAACAGCGGCACCUACAGCUAAAAGGGCUUGGACUUUGGAUGUAAAAGGAUCGACAUCUCUACACAUUCUCAGCAUUUCAUCAAGAGUUUUGUCUCGAGUCUUACCGCGGAGGACGGCUCGACAUGCCGAAUUGGCGUUUUCAUAGGCUAGCUGUUUUACAAUCUUAUCAUUGGCAGCCGCGGAACCAAGGGUCCUUUCGGCGGCCUCUAACAGUCUGCUAACAAAUUCGCUAUAGUCUUCUUGCGAGCUUUGAGUGAUCUUAGUUAGAGGAGUGUUAGCAGUCCCGGAAGCAGGGAGUGAUAUCCAAGCGCCCAAAGCGGCAUCUUUCACUUGAGAUAAAAGACCAAGGGGAAGGCGCUGCUGCCUGGUUUCAGAGAUAUAUCUGCCCUGUCCCGUAAGCUUAUCAAAAGUCCAGGACGCUGUUGGGGAAUGAGGGUCUUUUACAUUGGCAGCAGCGAUGGUUUGACAGCGGUCAGCAAAAUCUGCCUUCCAAGUUAAAAACUGACCACGGGUAAGCACAGCCUGGACUAUACGCAGCCAUUCACCUGGGAGUAAAUGUCCUCCUCGAGACAGCGAAUCAAGAACAGAAAGGGUAAAAGGGGCAUUGGGGCCAUAAGCUUUAACGGCCGCGUUCAGCUCUUUUAAGCUUUUGAAAUGGAUUUUGUGAAAUUCUCUAGGGCCAUCAGCAGGCUCGGCCGGCUCUGGCUCAGCCUGCUCCUCUCCCUCACUUUCUAUUUCCUGAGCAGCAGGGGCGUCUUCGCCGUCGCUUUCAAGAUCGCCCUCUUCCGGACUAUGUGUUGUGGAGGUGGGGCCAGAGCGGGCGGAGGCCCGGGAUGAAUUUCGGGGCCAUUAAUGAUAAACCACGGACAGACUUCAUCAACAAAAAUAAAAAACUUUACCAAGUCUUUCUUUUUAACUCGAA